GGUGAAGUCGUAACAAGGGAACCGUAGGGGAACCUGCGGUUGGAUCACCUCCUGACCUUAAAGAAGC
rnacentral:rRNA from 1 species